GUGGAACCCCGACUUAGGAAUACCCCAUUUAACGAAAAAUUCAAGUUACGAAGGCACUUAACGGCAAUAUUUCUGCCCGUGUUACGACAAAAUGCCCGCGUAACGAAAUCUGCUGGCUCUGAUUGGCUGAGCCCACAAUGCCUUCCCAAUCAUGUGACAACCCCCUUGGCUUUCCUACUUGCGCUGUGCUGUUCCACUUGAACGACGUAUUGUUGCAGUUAGCAAUUAGCCUAUAGCCUAUCGUUCACUCAAAAGGGUGCUUCGACUUACGAAAAUUUUCGACUUACGAAAUACCCUCGGGAACGAAUUAAUUCCCUGUGGCUUCGAAUUAAAACUGUUGAGAGGAAGCUUCCUAACAGCUCUGUGGAUCUCCCACCUUGUGAGGGGCAAGGAGACCGUGGCACAGCCCUCCAGCACCUGGGCACCAGGAUGUCGUCUCCAGGCUCAAUUCAUUCCUGUCAGCACGCUGUGAGAUGACUGCAUUAUCAGGGGUUGAUAUCCCCCAACGAUGCGUGAGCAUUUAUGAUCCGUCUCACACACCGGAUUCCAGGGGUUUCUGUCACCGCAUGUUAUCUCCACUCAGCGCUAUCAUUGUGGGCAGAAGUGCUGGAGAUACUGUAGAGCUGAAUGGGAGAGAAAAAACACACACAACUAAACAGGGACAAAGAAAAGUAAAGAAAAGCAUUCACGUCUGUAAAAGUUAUGCAAACGAUCACAAUCGGGGACAGAAGGUUCGGUGAAAUAAACUGAACUCAGUGGCAUUUGUAAGCCAAGAUUUCCCAGUAUUGUAACUUUUACGAUUUACAUUUAACAAAGUACUUGAAAGUGAGAAGAUUCAUAGCACUCAUUUUGUAAAUUGUUUACGGCACAUCAUUUAACACUCAGUGCAACGUGUUUAUUAGUGAGAAUUCUUACAGCUGAUGUGAAUUUAAAGUGGGAACAAGAACAUGCGAUAGGUCUGACAUGUGUUUAAUUCUGCAUUAACGUCUUCCUGGUGGAAGCAAACAGGCUUGCCAUUAGACAUUCAUUAUAUUGAUUUUGCAGCAGAGUUGAGUCUCGUAGGAAAAUGAGGUUUCUCUCCCUUUUGUCUGUCAGCUAAUUAUUGAAAACAAGAUUUGCUUCUGAUUAAGGGAGCGGGUCGUUGUUGCUGCAGACACAUUGACAUGCACAAAACACCUGAGGUUAGUGGAGGACAGUGGGUGGAUAUGGUUGGGGCAAGGUCUUUCCUCCUUAAGCCUAUUAAAGAAACAGAUGCCAGAUCUUACAAGGUUUGCUUAUAACAAGGUGGAUUAAAUUGCACCAUAUGUCUGCAUUACUUUCCAGCCAUUUUAAGCAAAUAUUGUAGCUGUGUCUGCAAUUCCAAUUCAAAGCCACUGACAAUGAAGAUGUCUUUUUUUCUGGGUUUGUUAUGCUAAGAGUGGGAACGGUGUGAGAAUAUGAACACUCGCUUUUUACCAAAUGAUCUUCAAAUCCUGUUGGCGUUCAGAAAACAACACCAAUUCAAAAUUAAUCACUGAAGACAUGUUUUUAUGUAUUAUGUGGAUAUCUUACUUUUCUAAAAUCAGCCAACUUCCUUUAACCUGCCCAAACAUAAAUGUCAUUCCUCUCCAUCCACCUCACUCACGAGGGAUGAACAAAUGACCUUUUCAAGCUCCUUCCUGGAAUCAGCUGUGCUGAGUGUACUGUAAAAGUACUGACAUAAUGGCGUCUUUAGCAUUUUUCCCACACAUUAAACUGCAAAUAAUAUUGAUUACUUUGAAGUUAACUGUAUCAAAAGACCAGCUGUACUAGAGUCUGUGCUACAGUUUUGGUGAGAGAUAAUGCAGUAUUUUUACAUGUAAACGCUGUGAUGUGUCCAUACAGUCUACAGCAGCG